rnacentral:rRNA from 1 species
UACGGGGGGAGCAAGCGUUGUUCGGAUUUACUGGGCGUAAAGGGCGCGUAGGCGGCCAGCACAAGUCAGUUGUGAAAUCUCCGGGCUUAACUCGGAAAGGUCAACUGAUACUGUGCGGCUAGAGUGCAGAAGGGGCAACUGGAAUUCUCGGUGUAGCGGUGAAAUGCGUAGAUAUCGAGAGGAACACCUGCGGCGAGGGCGGGUUGCUGGGCUGACACUGACGCUGAGGCGCGAAAGCCAGGGGAGCGAACGGG